AUUCUACACUGCUUAACUAAGUGGACAAUGGAAUGUCCAUCCACUCAUGAAAAGUCUGAAGCUUCAUAAAAAGAUUGGUAUCCUGAUCUGCAUGUGGCAGACUGAUGGAGUCUACAUAGAUAGGACCAAGAAUUUUCUCAGAAAUGCAAACCAAUAGGCAACCCUGGGCUCAGCAUUGUACACCCGUAGGGCAAAGCAGGCAGCAUUGCAGUCUGGGCACUCUCUCAAAGCAGGCGUUUCCAGUGAGACUGCGCAUAGAAUUCUAUGUUCUGAAAACUGCCAUGGCAGUCACGCUGUGCUUCUGGAUUUGAUGGCUUAUUAUCUGGUAGUCAAGGUCUUUCUCUUUGCUGCCAUUUAGCAGUUUGGAUCAGCCUGGGAGCUGGGAGCUCUGACAGCUCCCUCCUAAACCGCAACUGUGGCUCCUAUCAGCCGUGGACUGGAGGCCCUGUAUAUGGAGGAAGUCCUUUUCCAGUGGGAGAAGAAGAGGCCAGCCUUCAGCAGGAAAACAGAGCUCAAAGAUAAAGAGAAGGAAAGACAGUCCCAGUGACAUUGGUUGAACCCCCGGCUCUAGCUCUGCCUGAACCCACAAAUAUCCUUUCUGUUUAAGCUAGUUUGAAUUUUUUUUGUCACUUCCAAAUGGAUAAGUCCUGACAUAAUAAUAUGCUUAAAUAUUAGAAUGAAGUAAUACAUUUUAAUUAUGAAAAAUAGAGACAAGUAAAAAGAAAAACCCCAAAU